AUUGGUGACGUAGAUAAGACCAACAUUAUCAUAGUUCAGCCCUCUCUGCUUGGCUUGGGUACGCCCUCAAAGACGGGGGUGGAGAGCGCUGAGUCAGAAGAGAGCUAAAAUGGCGGAGGUUGGGAGUCCCUGCUUUGACCCUGUUUGCAAACUCUUGUUUCAUUGUUUAAGCGAUUAAAUCUCUCGAGUAGACGCUGUCUCUUUAAAUGCAAGGGCAAAAUAGCACUUUAUGGACUAACACAGAGGACAUCAUGUUUAAUACGGUUCCGGAAAAAUCCAGUCAGAAGUUGUUCACGGAGUUUUCACAAUAACUGCUUCUCAUGAACCAAAGCUGCGCGACGUCUCCUCCUGAAAGUUGGAUUACCGUGCACUUCUGGAUCACAGGCUAUUCGCAGCUGGACACAUCCUUCUACACUGUAUGCAAACAUGCAACAUCAUUACACACAGUACAAGGCAUAUGAGGAGCAAAGGAACCCAGGCAGUAGCAUCGUUUCACAAUGUUUCAAUCACCAUCAUCAGUGGAUGCCUUUGCCGUCCGUAGCCUGAGAUUUCAGAUUUGCAGCAAAAAAUGUGACUUUCCCAUUUAUUGGAAUGCUGUGCAGGUUGUACCUUGCAGCCAUCCAUUACAAUGUCACCAAGCCAUAACAAAAGCAGGAGAGGGAAAGUACAAGGCUAUGUUCCCAAAACACACAAGUGACAUACUUUAUGUGGAUGAUGUGAUCAGGCUUGUGUUUGAUGAGGUAUUUGAAGAUAAGCUGAAGGAAACCCCGAUUCCAAUGGACCUGGCAUCACAGUUUGAGAGACCUUCAAACGAGGACGUGAUUGCAUGCCAUCUUCAGUGCAGGGGUCGUCGGAAGCCACCAUUCCGAUCAGGAAGCUCCAAGCAUAUCUGGAGAACAACACACGACAGGAUGAUAACCCUAAAGUGUCGUCUUAGAUAGCACCAGCUGACAAAGCUUUGAUAUGCCAUUUAUCUGAAUAGAUAGCUGUAAGAAGUGAAUUGAACAAUUUUUUGAAAGAAGAGCACUAUAUGGUUACUAAAGUAUGUUUAUUUGUAUAUUGUUUAACAGUUAAAUAUAUAUUUGUAAUAAAUAAACUUUUGACUGACUACUA